UACGUAGGGUGCGAGCGUUAAUCGGAAUUACUGGGCGUAAAGGGCGCGUAGGCGGGCUCGCCAGUCAGGGGUGAAAGCCUCCAGCUUAACUGGAGAAGUGCCUUUGAUACUGCGAGCCUCGAGGGAGGUAGGGGCGUGCGGAACUUCCGGUGGAGCGGUGAAAUGCGUAGAUAUCGGAAGGAACACCGGUGGCGAAAGCGGCGCGCUGGACCUCUUCUGACGCUGAGGCGCGAAAGCGUGGGGAGCAAACAGG
rnacentral:rRNA from 1 species